AACGAACGCUGGCGGCAGGCCUAACACAUGCAAGUCGAGCGAACCCUUCGGGGUUAGCGGCGGACGGGUUAGUAACGCGUGGGAAUAUACCCUUUGGUACGGAAUAGCCUCGGGAAACUGAGAGUAAUACCGUAUGUGCCCUUCGGGGAAGGAUUAUCGCCAAGGAUUAGCCCGCGUUGGAUUAGAUAGUUGGUGGGGUAAGUGGCCUACCAAGUCUACGAUCCAUAGCUGGUUUGUAGAGGAUGAUCAGCAACACUGGGACGUGAGAUACUGCCCAGACACCUACGGGUGGCUGCAGUCGAGAAUCUUCGG
rnacentral:rRNA from 1 species